rnacentral:lncRNA from 1 species
AUCCCCAAGUCUUCAAAUUAUCACAGCAGAGCAACAGUGUGUGAUACUGAAAGCUAGCAAACCAUCUGGGUGGCUAACUGGUAGUGGUAACAGGAUGGGAGGAAAUGAAUUCCCCAGGAGAGGAAGCAAAUGAUUUCAAGUAAGCCCCAGAUGAGUCUUUGGAACAUGGGAAAGGUAUUGGCUGGAUUUCACUAGGAAAAGAAUCUGUUACAUCAGUAUAUCUGUGUAUUUCCCUGCAUGAUGAACCAUGGGGAAGCAGCAAAGGGAAGGCAACAAAGAAGACAGCCAGUGUGUGUCUAUGGAAAGAAGCCUAGUACCUUGUGUCACUACUUCAAACCAUUCUUGCAUGGGUAUGACAUGAAUCAUUGAAGGGAAAGAAGGGAACAAUGGUCCUUCUGUAUCAUCCCCAAGGAAGAAUGAGAAAAAGACAAAGCCUCUAGAAAAGAGAGGAAGGUUGUGAAAUGAAUUCAUUCUUCAUUCUGGAAGAACUGGAGAAAAUGCAGUGUGUGAGGUGAUCCAGAGGCUAGACAGAUAUGAGUCAGCUAGGGAAAUAAAAGGAAAGGGAUGACUAAGCA